ACACAUUUAAGGGUGUGGCCCCUGGUAGGUGGGACCGACCACUCUCCAGUGGAAGGCCAUAUAUCCAAGAGUAUAAGGACAACAGAAACUGUACUUGAUGGUGAAAAACAAAACAAAAAGACACAAAUAUGGGUGGUAGGAAAGGGAGUAUGGAAGAUCUGGGAGGAAUUGGAGGAAGGGAUAAACAUGACCAAAAUAUAUUGUAUGAAAUUCUCAAAGAACUAAUUUAAAACAGAAAAAAAGCAACAAAAUCGAAAUAGUAAUUUAAAAUAAUCUCUUGACAAAAACAAACAAACAAACAAACAAAAAAACUCCAGGAUCAGACAAACUCAUUGGUGAUUUCUAUCAGACCUCUGAAGAUCAGAGUGCAGAGCUAAGCCACUAGUUAGCCAUAGAGGCCAGGUGUUGAUGGCUCACACCUUUAAUCCCAGUACUAGAAAGGUGGAGACAAGAAGGGAAAUGGCUGGGCAGAGAGAGGUGGGAGGAGACAGGAGCUCAUUGCAUUCAGUCUGAGGAUUCCUGGAGACAGAAUGUUGCACACUUUUAGUCUGAGGAUGGCUAGAGUUAAGAAGUCUCUCUAGUUACUGGCUUCUUUGUCUUAAUGAUCUUCAGGAAAGCUUUGUUAGAGCAUAAACAAAAUAUCACCAAGAUACCAAUGCUUCUCAGAUGAUUCUAUGAAAUGAAAAGGGAAGGAUGCUUCCAGACUCAUCCUAGGAGCCUGUAUUACUUAGGUACCAAAACCAGGUGGAUACAGUAACAAGAGAAAGGUAUAAUUAACAUCCUUGGUGAACACAGAUGCAACAGUCCUUAGAGUACUUAAUACUUCACACAAACUUCAACAGCACUUAUAAGGAUCAUACUUCAUGAUGAAGAUGGGUUCACCCGGUCAUGUAAGGGCUGCAAAUAUGCCAACUGAUUAGCAAUGCUGUGCAGAAACAGAAGGGCAAGAAUCAUAUACUCAGCCGAAAAGAGUGAAAUUGUCAUUUUUCAGGGGAAAAACGCAUGGACCUGGAAAUCAUGGUGUUGUGUAUAACAGGCCAGUCCCACAAUGACAUUUGUUUUCAAGUCUUGGAUCUCAGUUUGGGGAGGGGACCUGAUAGUAAAAGGGGAUAUUAGGGAUGUGAAGGGUAAAGAGGAGGGGGGUAAGUAUGUAAAGUAGGUGAAUAUUAUCAAACAUUAUGUGCAUAUACAGAAAUGUUAUAGUGAAUAUUUUUUACUUUUUAUGCUAAAUAUUUACUAACAAAAUCUUUAUAAAGUAAAAAGAGACAAAGAAAAUGAGUAGUUAGAAAAAAAAUGGAAGAUAGUUAACAAAGAAAAUUUAAAAUAUGUAAAAACUAACUUCUAAAACCAGAAACAUAAAAUACAAGAAAUAAAAGGAAAAAUGAAAACCAAUACCCCCAAAGCACAACCAGCAAAGUGAGAGAAAAACUCACUCUGUCAAGUACAAGAAGUCACCAGCAUCCGAGUCCAAAACUUCACCGAUAUCCAGGUCCAAAACUUUUACCAACAUCCAAGUCCCACAGAUCACCACCUAACAGCUCUCUGUACUAGAAGGACAAAACCCAGCCCUAGGCAGUGUGUUAUAUGCACAGGUGUCAGUCAUUCCUCACAGUGGCUCCUUGUGAGGUCAGAGCAAGCCAUGGACCAAUGAGGGAUGGGCACACUCCUGUCAAAGGCCUGUGUUAGCUACUCUGCAGUCACUGCUACCAAGUGCCCCACAGAAAGUAACAUAAGGAAGGUUUGUUUGGGCUCACAUUCUGUGAGAACAUGGAAAGCAUGGUGGCAAGAGUAGUUGGUGUUAGCAUGUGGCUGCUUACACUGUACUGGUGGUCACUCCACCUCCAAUACCAGGCUAACAAACUGCUUCCUGGAGCUAGACCCCACCUGCUAAAGCUAGACCACAACUUCCCAAGACAGCAUUACCUGCUGGAGAGCAUGAGUUCAAACACAGAAGUGUCUACAUGGGACAUUUCACAAGCAAACCCUAGGAAGGACUGGCUCCACUUUAACAGUAGUAACAACAGAAAUGGUAACAGUGAAAACAUGGGCCCCUGAAGCUCUAUGUUUUAUUGGGUAGAUAUGUUAAGAUUAUGAUAUUUGGAAUGCAUGAGGUGUAUUUUGGGAUAUAUGAGGGCUGCUUUCUUGUUCUAACAUGGAAGUUUGUUAUAUGUUCUCACAUGAUCCUGGGAAGGACUGUACUCUCUUUCAGGCCCUGUUCUAUAGGUGACACAUUCUGUCAUGAUGGUGAACCUCCUGGGUUGGUACUUCCAAAGGCCCCAACUCUCAAUAUUAUCAUUGCUUUAGAAAUGAAAAUCCAACAUGGAUUUGGAGGGACACGUGUUCUAACAUGAUAACCCACAAACUAGAGCUGGUCAUCAGUAGACGUGACCUGCCUGAGGGAUGAAGAGAAAGUGAAGAUGAAAGACAUGAAUGUUUCACCUCAGAAAAUAGCACAUUAUCCCAAGAAUUAAUAAUACACUUAGCAAUUAAAAACAAUGUUGUGAGAAAUCA